rnacentral:rRNA from 2 species
AAAUUGAAGAGUUUGAUCAUGGCUCAGAUUGAACGCUGGCGGCAGGCCUAACACAUGCAAGUCGAACGGUAACAGGAAGCAGCUUGCUGCUUCGCUGACGAGUGGCGGACGGGUGAGUAAUGUCUGGGAAACUGCCUGAUGGAGGGGGAUAACUACUGGAAACGGUGGCUAAUACCGCAUAACGUCGCAAGACCAAAGAGGGGGACCUUCGGGCCUCUUGCCAUCAGAUGUGCCCAGAUGGGAUUAGCUUGUUGGUGAGGUAACGGCUCACCAAGGCGACGAUCCCUAGCUGGUCUGAGAGGAUGACCAGCCACACUGGAACUGAGACACGGUCCAGACUCCUACGGGAGGCAGCAGUGGGGAAUAUUGCACAAUGGGCGCAAGCCUGAUGCAGCCAUGCCGCGUGUAUGAAGAAGGCCUUCGGGUUGUAAAGUACUUUCAGCGGGGAGGAAGGUGUUGCGGUUAAUAACCGCAGCAAUUGACGUUACCCGCAGAAGAAGCACCGGCUAACUCCGUGCCAGCAGCCGCGGUAAUACGGAGGGUGCAAGCGUUAAUCGGAAUUACUGGGCGUAAAGCGCACGCAGGCGGUCUGUCAAGUCGGAUGUGAAAUCCCCGGGCUC